ensembl:lncRNA
AUUUUGAUUUCCAGUAGAGCAAUAAGAUGAACAUUAACAAUGUACCCAACAAGUUUAUAAAUUAAAGUUCAGGCGCUACAGUAUGUUAUGUUGGACAAAUUAGACAUGAAAAACACUCCCUGUGAGCAUAUUGGUGACAGUGCAUAAGGAAAAAACUGAACCCUUGACCCCAACAGUAAGUGGAUCAGUGGCUCUAUUCUGUGGGGGGCAUUUUUCUGUCAUCGUUUGUCCCCUUAGAGGGAAAAAUCACUGCAAAUCAAUACACAGUUGUUCUGAGUGCUCACCUUUACCCUAUGAUAAAACAUUUGUGCCCCGAUGGGACACAAAUUAUGUCGGGAUUUUCCUUUCUUUCCUCUAAAAGUCCUCAAUGAGCGAGACAAAGUGGGUUAAACAGUUUAUUGAAUUGAUUUCUGCUGUUGAGAACUGUUUGUCAUCUCUGGCUGACUUUACAAUGUGUGAUGAAAGAAAAAGACCGCGAGGGAGGGGAGAAGAAAGAGAGAAAAAACUACCAACAUUAUUAAAAAUCAUAAACAUAAUUGGCUUAUGCACAACUCAUCGUUCCCACCCUCCCAAGUGGGGAAAAAAAUAUAACAACCCUUGCCGAAUACUAAAUACUGUAUGAAAUGGGGCGAUUUUAAAAUUUAAAAACAUAGAGGGACUAAACUGCUACUUAAAGAAAAAAUUAUGUAGAUCGUUAGAUAAAGGGGAGAUUACAAGAGAAGCAAAUAACACCACACCUGACUGUUUCAAAGAGGCAACAGUAAACUAGAGACAUUGAAAGCCUGAUGAGGCAGAUUCUUGCAAAGCAGCCGCCGCUCCUUUACAUGCUGCAGUCCAUCACAUCAGCUGUUGACAGUAUUUCCAACAUCAGUGAAGAAAAACGGGGGGUUUUGUUGCAUAUAUCUAAAAAUAAUUACACGUUAUGAUUGAAAAUAAUAAGAAAAUCAUGCAGAUUAAACAAGCUGGUCUUUUGUUUCCAGAUUGAAGCAAUCGGGUCGGGGGAUGGGGGUUAUUAUAAUACAUAUAAAAACAUAAAAAACAAAGAGGGGGAAAGGACUGAUGAUUGUGUGCUAAUUUCUACCAUAACACCAAAUCAAGAUCCUUGUGCCGUAUACAGAAAAUUCAAAGGCCCUGAUAAGCAACCACUGCAUCGUGGCGUUGCUCCGGGACACGUCACAAAUGACAUCUAGCACCAUUCAAAAAGAAAAUGUGGAAAUAAAGGAGAGUGUUUUGUACAAAUCAGGCUAACAUAUUCACACGGCUACAGUGAAAAGAUGAAUAUUAAGAGUUUAAACUGCGGAGGGUGUUAAUUCUGAUCACAAAAUUAAAUACAAACAUACACAAAAUUUUAAGAAAUGGGGGGAGAUGACAAAAUAAAGUCUUGCUACAGAGUAACAACAUGCUAUAGUGUUUUUAAAUAUUGGCAGUGAAAAACAGACAAAAUGAAACCCCAAGGGAUAAGCUAGUACUGAUAUACAUGGCUGGACAGCUACAACACAUUUCUCUGAAAAAAUGGGAAGUCAAAUUUGAGAUCAACUCUUUUAAAGACAGAAACGUCUCCAGGAAAACAUAAAGUGUUGGUUUCCAGUCUGCCGUAACAGAGAAAUUGUGCAAAAUAAAGUCGUUUUUGCUGUUGUCUGAUUACGUCUGUGCAGAGCUGUCUUCCUGUCGCUUUUCUUCCGAGUGACCCUGAGAGGUAACGGUUGUACGAGUCUCGUUUUGAGAUGAGAAUUCGGCGGCAUGUUGGAAAUUUUUUAACCACAUUUUCGAUGCAGGUUUUUACUUGGAUUUUAAGAAGGAAGAAAAGAAGCACGAGGCAGAUGACUGGGAAUUUUUAGUAGAAACUGUCAAGUAUUUGCCUAAUUCUUUUUCAACGUCACGUUACAGGCAUCUUUUGCUAAGCGUAUGUACACCAAGGAUACUAUGUCAGGCCCAAGCACUCCCUAAAUGCCAUGCAAAUGCAAAUAUUAGUGUUCCUUUGGUUAUGUAAAAAAAAUCUACAUGCAUGUCAUCCUUUACAAAAAUAAAAGUGUAGAAAAUCACCAUUAAAAAUGAUCUGAGAAUGCUUCCUCCAAUGUAAAAAACAUCACUUGUCAUUAGUAAUAUAUUCAUAUGUAUUAAUAUCUGAUUUAUUAUCUCCAUCUAAAUUGUAUAUUAAAACUAUAAUCAAAUAUAUUCUUUUUUUUGUACUUCUCACACUGUGAAUUAAUUUCUUUAACAUUAGUACUGAAUUAUUAAAGUGUGAGAGCAUAUUCUGAACUUGAAGCAGCCGAAUCCCG